AAUGAACGUUGGCGGCGUGGAUUAGGCAUGCAAGUCGAGCGAGAACCCCGCAAGGGGGGACAGCGGCGCAAGGGACAGUAAUGUGUAGAUCAUCUGCCCUCAGGUCCGGGAUAGCUGCGGGAAACUGCAGGUAAUACCGGAUAACAUCUCCGGAUCAAAGGUGUGAUUCCGCCUGAGGAUGAGUCUGCAUCCUAUUAGCUAGUUGGCAGGGUAACGGCCUACCAAGGCAUUGAUGGGUAGCGGGUGUGAGAGCACGACCCGCGUCAUUGGGACUGAGACACUGCCCAGACACCUACGGGUGGCUGCAGUCGAGAAUCUUCGGCAAUGGGCGCAAGCCUGACCGAGCGACGCCGCGUGUGGGAUGAAGGCCUUCGGGUUGUAAACCACUGUCAGAGGGGAUGAAAUGCAGGUGGGUUCUCCCAUCUGUUUGACAUAGCCUCAGAGGAAGGACGGGCUAAGUUCGUGCCAGCCGCCGCCGUAA
rnacentral:rRNA from 1 species